rnacentral:lncRNA from 1 species
UCCGUGUAUUCUUCUCUUUCAGAUGACUGUAAAUGCAAAGUACAGCUUGCUUUGAUAUCUGACGGCAGGAUGACAUUAUGCUACCACCGUUCUGUGGACAUUCCAUAUGAACACACCAAACCUAUCCCUCUAAACAGAUCCUGUGCAUAAUAACUAAGAAACACAUGACCAGGUGCUCAGAGCCAGAUUAGAAGAAUAUGAGCACCUUGAGCAAGGACCCAGAUAGACCAGCUUAGCAAAAUGUUUGUUACCACUAAGCACUGUUGAUAUCCUCAUGGACAGUAUCACAGUGUCAUAAAAAACUGAACCCUCCAAAAGACAGAUGA